ensembl:miRNA MIR1251 microRNA 1251
GUCAGCUAUGUGGACUCUAGCUGCCAAAGGCGCUUCUCCUUCUGAACAGAGCGCUUUGCUCAGCCAGUGUAGACAUGGCCUGAU